rnacentral:rRNA from 1 species
CCUACGGGAGGCUGCAGUGGGGGAUAUUGGACAAUGGGGGGAACCCUGAUCCAGCGACGCCGCGUGAGUGAAGAAGUAUUUCGGUAUGUAAAGCUCUGUCAGCAGGGAAGAAAGAAAUGACGGUACCUGACCAAGAAGCCCCGGCUAACUACGUGCCAGCAGCCGCGGAAAUACGUAGGGGGCAAGCGUUAUCCGGAAUUACUGGGUGUAAAGGUAGCGUAGACGGUUAAGUAAGUCUGGAGUGAAAGGCCGGGGCCCAACCCCGGGACUGCUCUGGAAACUAUUGAACUUGAGUGCAGGAGAGGUAAGCGGAAUGCCUAGUGUAGCGGUGAAAUGCGUAGAUAUUAGGAGGAACACCAGUGGCGAAGGCGGCUUACUGGACUGUAACUGACGUUGAGGCUCGAAAGCGUGGGGAGCAAACAGGAUUAGAUACCCUUGUAGUC